GUGUUCUUCGAACCACGAACGAUAAAAGGAACUGCUUCCGACCCAGAGCAAGCUACCAUUGUGUCAUCUUCCAAAGAGCCAGAGACUAAAUCUGGAGAAGAGCUCGUGGGACAUGAUCUGGAAACAGUUCAAUUGAGCAGGUUCCGCCCAGCCUUGUGCUCCUCCCUGAUCUCCUGGUUCCUUUAACGGCAAGCUAAAGAACUCAGCGGGAUUCCAGACGGCUUGUCAACAGAAGAACGAAGCCCAAGGGCAAGGACGACUGGAACUCAGCUAACACCAGAUGAUAAGAUCCAUGAGGGCAGGACCACAUCUGCCCCGCUCCCCACUGGGUACCCAGCCCCACCACAGAGAAAAUGCCGAUCCAGAACCAGUCAGAAGAACUAGUGAUGGGAGGGAGAUGACCAAUCCCUGUCUAACACCACAAAAGGAGACUUAAUUUGGUACAAAGAUCUAGCCAAGUGGGGGUAUGUGCUCCCACACUUCACGCAGGACGCUUUGUAUCUUUUCUCAAUGAACCUGACCCCAUAAGAUACAUAAUCCUUCAUUUCAAAAGGGCCCAUCCUGCCCCCUUCUUACAUGCACAAAUCCCUACUGAAAUAUACUGUCCCACACAAUGAAAAGUCAUUAUUGAGCUAAGGACUGCAACACCUACGCUGGUUAGUUUUUAUUCAAUAUAUCAUCAUCGUUAUUAUUAUUAUUAGAAAUUACACUCCACUGAGGUGGAAGUAAAUAUGCUGCUUAAUGUUUAAGGAUUCCAAGAACCUCAGUAAUAAUACCUGGAUGUUUUGAGCUAAAAAAAGAAGCCCAUCAUUUUAAUAAACUAACUUCAUUCACAGACACUGUGAUUCAGAUGACAGCAACAAUGGAUGGGAACUAGCUUCCUACCCCUGGUGAGUGUGAAGCCAUCACAGGGACAAGCCUUCAGACUUAAUGUGAGGGAAGGAAAACUGUCCCUAACAUUGGUGACACGUAAAGGUUGCCUUUAUUUCCAGGUCAAAUUUGUCUCAAUAUCUGGGUGGCUGGAGUUCACAAACAGAAAGACACUUCUCAAGUCAGAGUUCAAGAUGCCACACAUGACUAAUUCAGCUGUCUGGAUUUUUCAAACUUUGGUCCAAAUGACUUGAACCAAUUUAAUAUGUCUUUGCUGCUUUCACUCAUUAUGCAAAGCAAUGAAAAGGCUGAGAUCCUAACAACAGGCACAGCCUAGUAAGCAAUAGAGAAUUCUUUAUAUAAAGAGCUUCUAUCCCGACUUCUCUCCUCAUAAAAUGCACCCGUGAUUAAAGGCUACAUACACUUCCCAGGACAGCCAAUACUAGAAAUGUUUCCUUUAUGUUGAACAGAAAGCUGAAAUUUGCCACCCAGUGGCUCCAGCCUGGCUUUGCACUGCAACACAAACAAAAAUAUAUUCCAUCUUCUCCAUGACCGUUUUUUAAGAUGUGAAUUCACCUCUCACAUCUCCCCUUUUGCCCAUGUCUUGCCUGAGUGCUUCAACCACUCCCUGGAUUACUGUAGUUCUCAACUCCUUUCCAGCCUGAUCCUGAACAUCUCAAUGUGCUCAUUUGUCCCUCUUCCAUGGUUCUAACUUUUAAAAAAAGUAUUCACAUAAAUGGCUACAGCAAUUGAAAUUUUAAACCAUCCUUUUGUUGUAUGAGUUAAUACAGUGUACUGGACAAAUACAUUAAUCCUUACCACCUGAUUUAAGUAGUUGUUAGUUUAAAUUUAGAAUUAAAGCUCUCUUCCUCUGUCUCUAUCUAACUGUUGAAACUCAGCUGGCCCCUAGGUGGUGCUCAUUCUGACGGCGCCAUCCUAAAUUUCAGCCUGUCAUUUCAUGCCCAUGGCUGGGUCUUUCAGACCACAUCGUCAGCACUUAGAGAAGCUCUAUUUAGGAGAUAUUAAAUCACAGGUAGUAAAGCAAGGCAUGGACAGUGAUCUUUAUAUGCUUCCCUAUUUUCAUAUAUAAAUAUUCCCCUACUUUCAAAUUGGUAUGUCUAUUAGAGUCCGGAAGUCACUUAGAAAACAGAAUUCUAAACUACUUGAAAAUGUCUUUUAAAAAAGACCCAUCAUUAAACGCUUACAGAUGAUAACUCAAUCAGAAGCCAAGGCAUAUGAGGUUUUGUUCACUGGUUCUCUAAUAUUCGACAGGGAAACAACUCAGACAGCACCCUGCAGUGAGGCAGGAGAAAUGGAGUGCACCACAGCCAAGGAGCGCCACGGGGAAAUGAGGGACAGCCUUGCCCCAGACUUCAUGUGUGUGAAGUUCAGAAGCAGAAAAGCUAUGAUCUAACAGCCAUGGUUCCAGAGAUGCUAAAUGUGACAAAGCAAUGCUUUUCCUUGGGAAACACACUCCUGACAACUACCCAAUGCUGAUAUACGGCAAGACCUACCCAUCCCUGUUGCUGGCACUGUUCCUGCCUGGCAGUGCCAAGGAACUGUGAAAGUGCAUGCGGGGUUUCCUCAUCUGAGCCUUUGUUCCCCAUUCUCUUAUUCUACUGAGCCCUGAGACCGACACACGGGCCAAUCACACUGUGUUACUGGGUUUCUCGUUUGGGAGCAGAUUUUAUCUAAUGUGUACGUUUAUCCUACACACAAUAAAAAAAAAAGGUGUCCCUGCCCAUCCUCACAAUUGCCUGACCUUAACUCCACUCAUAGCGCCAACAUUAUAAAUUUUUUUUCCAGUUUUUCCACUGCCAACCAAAUGUUUAAUUAAAUUGAAACCUUUUCUUUGCAAGUUAGAGAAUUAGUCCCUAGGGAAUACUUAUCACCUUGUUCGUACCAACUGUUCUUAUUUCCAUCGAUUUUUUAAUCAAGCAAGAAAAAUACACUAAUAUGUGAUGAGCUGUACACAGCAUGGACUUUCUCCUAUGCAGCAUCACCAUGAGAGAGACAGCUUGUCCAUGGAGGCUUCAUAUGUCUGCUGCAGAUUUCUGAUUUGAGCCUUAAUGUUGCUAUUCUCCAAGGUCACUUGCUUAACUCUCCUGACAGAGAAAUGGCUUCCACAAACCCAGAAUUUCUACCAACGGACACAGGUUUAUGGGUACCUUCUACCACCUCCUGAAGUCACCUACAACUUUAUAUUAGAAGAUCUGGAAACUCUGGUGUUGAACACACGUCCUAAUACCUGUGUCCUCUUUGUAGAUGACCAGUCUCUGAAGCUCCUCCACCCCUUAGCCCCCACUUUGGAGAAUAAGCCUCAUGCCUAAACCUAUUCAAAUCAGUAGAAAGGAUUUUCAAUGGUGGUAAAUAGAUAUUAAAGAAAAUACAGAAGCCUUUUGAAAGUUGGAAUCACAGAGCAUUGGAGAUGCAAGGAGCCUUAGAAACCAUCUGGCCAACAACCCUCUCUCCAAGUCCCACUGGCUUUACAGAGACCGGUCUUGUGCUCAGAACCUAUAUCUGGACCAAGAGACCACGGCUGUAGCCCUGGACUAGCUACACACUUUGUUCAAGUCAUUUCUGUUGGCCUCCGUUUGUUUAUCCAUAAAACAAGGGGGUUGGAGAUCAUCUCAAUAGUGCCUUCCAGCUUUGACAUUCUAUAAAAUCAAACCAAGGAUCUGGUCUCGUCAAUAAUAAUGAAAAUGGGGUAGACUAGACAAUGGAAGAAAUAAGAAGGCAACUAUUUUCAGACUCAGUUGAGUUUCCUGGCCAUGAGAUGAUGUGUUUCUUUCCUCUGCUCCUCCCUCUUCCCCAGCCUCCACCCCCCUCUUGUUUUGUUUUUUUUAAACAACAGUUUUUAAUCUUUUCAUUAUAAGGCUCCUCUGUCUACCCUGGAAUAAGAGACUAGACUGUAACUAGAAAUUAGUCAGGGUCCCUGGGUUAGGGGGGACCCUGUUCUAACAGUUGACCUCUGAAGUAAAUGCCUGGCGUGUCAGUGGUGUGGACAAAAAUGCUGCCUGCCAUUCCAGUCAACAAUGACUGUUGCCCACCAGUCACUGUUGCCCACAAGUCAUCAGCCACCGCAGCCCCCACAACAGUGUGCCCUGAGGGGGAUUCAAGAUGGAAAAAAGCAGGAUACUAGCCCUAGAUAGUUAAGAUGCAAACCAAAGAAAUAAUUUCAAUGAGCCCAGACUCUUACAUCUUCUUAUACAUAGAAAAGCACUAAAAACAUUAACUGAAGAUGUCUGGUUUUUUUGUGAUGAACAGUCAUCUUCUGAUGUUUGGCUACAUUUCUUUUAAGCGAAACUCCUAUCUAUCCUGGUUCCUCCCUCACCCCUUUGGAGCAGUUCAUCAGAGCUGUCCGAGAGGCUGAUUCCCAGGCUAUAGGACUCAGUAAGGUCCCCGAAUAAAACAGAACUCUGAACUUUUAGGUUGUAUGGGGUUUUUUUUUAAUCAACAGUGGGGUGGCAAAUCAGAGGUAUGAUGGGGAAGAAAACCCAGAUACCAACCAGAUCUGAACUCAGGUGAGAUACAGCAUUUCCUGGUUGGACGGUAGUGAGAUGUCUGAGAGGGAAGGAAAGGGAGGCUGGGUGAGCCCCCUUGAUAGCAGGAGGAAGGGAAAAUAAAGGCUCCUGAAUAAACCAGACCCAAAGUAGGGCUUGGCCUGAGGCCAGGGGAAAGCUGCCAGGUACUAUGGGAGAGCCAGGAAAAGGGUGGGACUCAGAGGCCCCACCAGAAAUGGGCCUCCCAGACAAAUCCAAACACGGGGCCCACCCAGGCCCACUGCGUGACCGUGGCCUAGCUUUGCUGUUGGCACUACUGCCCGAACAGCUGUUAGUAGAGAAUACUAGAUCCUAAGGGAAGUGGAUAAUCCCAACAUGAAAAUUUGUUUGCUUAUCUAGCGAAUUAUUUAUAGAGAACCAGAAAGGAUGUGAAAUAGCUUGUGUGAACUUUCAAGAGGAAGGUAAAGAGAUAAGAGUCAAAUCAAGUUGGAAGGGGACAGACAUUAUUAUUUGCACGUUUGGAAACUAAAGCUAAGGGAAGCUGCUUCUGGUGAAUAUAAUGCUUUACUCUGAACAUUUUCAAGUUAAUUUGCAUGUUACGCGGUCGGGGGCGGGGGUCAGUCGGAAGAUUAAAAAUGGGCAGCAUAUGAGGGGUUAACUCCUAGCAAAUGAAACUAAUCAAGAGAAAAACCCCCUUGACGUGUGGUGACCACACACAUUUGCACAAAUGUGGGAUCCUGACUCUUUUGGCUUCCCUGCCUGGUACUAUGAGAUAUUCUUUGGAAGGCACAUGAUUUCUUUCAAAGCAAAAUAAUUUCUAGGGACUUCCCUGGCGGUCCAGUGGUUAAUACUCCGUGCUUCCAACGCAGGGGGUGCAGGUUCGAUCCCUGACUGGGGAACUAAGAUCCCACAUGCCUCGCGGCCAAACAAUAGUAACAGUAAUAAUUUCUAAAUUAGGAAAAAGUACCUAACAGCCUCUGGGAGUUACUUGUCAUGAAUGAACACAGAUUUCCUUUGCUUAAGUCUGGCUUUCCUGUGGUUGGUGGAACUUCUCGUAACACUGGGGCUUAAGGGAGUGGGCUGAUGUGCUGUUUUAGGCACUGACACUUAGAACCACUUGGGUGUCUAGUGGAACAAGUGACAUCUCUAGCACUGAACUCAGUAUCUAACCCCCCGUUUUAAUAAGCGCAAAAACAACUGCAACUCCAAGGUUGAGAGUCUCAGCUUGGAAGCAUUUCCAUCGGCUUCCUUCCUUCACCGUCUCCCUGGCCUGGCCUCUACUGUGGCUGUGUGUAGAGGAUUGCAAAUCAUGAGCUGAAGACAUUCUGUGACUUACUUUUCUACAAAGACACAGGGCCCACCCUUGGCUAAGCUCUCCUGCACUGGAACAGAGGAGACCCAGGCGAAUCGGGAGCGGAUGAAUACCUGCAGGCCGAUGGAGUCCGACACCAAAGCCGAGUUCAUCGUAUUAAAACUGUCCAGGGCUGACGACUGGGUUUGGAUGUAAUUCUGCUGAUAAUCCUGCUGAGCCUGUGAAACCUGGACAGA